CUCCAAAUAACCGGAAACAGGAACUUCGAAGUAAACUGAAGCUGGAUAGGCGUACGCUGCGGUUUUGCUGCCCCUUUUGCACUAUUUUUCACGAUCAACAUCUCUGCCCCUCUUAUCUGCGUCUGCCUGCCUGUCUGUCACGCAGGUGACAUACACACUGCAAGGACAAAAUACUCACCCACACUUGUUUCAGGCCCAUUGCCACAAGUGGAUAACUGUACUAAUAUUGUGCAUUUGUGGGGAAAAAAUGGGCCAAUCUAAGGAGCUCUCAGAAUUUCAGCGUGGCACUGUAAUAGGGUGCCACAUUUGCAACAAGUCAGUCAGUGAAAUUUCUUCCCUCCUGAAUGUUCCAGAAUCAACUGUCGAUGAUGUUAUUGCAAAGUGGAAGCAAUCAGGAUCCUUAACAACUCAGCCAAGAAACAGGGGAGCACGUAAACCUGCAGGCGCUGAGAACGAGUAACAGUCUGCCGACUCGCUUCCAAACCUCCGCUGGCUUUAAACAUUGGCACAAACACCACUGGCUGUCCAUGAAUGAGCAGCUGUAGGCAACACAGGCUUUCCACACAUGUGCUAUGUAAGAUUUCUGUAACAAAAUAUAUGAUUUCAGAAUUAGACUUUAAAAACAUUACUCAAUUAAAACAUGUCUUCUUGUGACGCUCUCUCAUUUUGAAUUGUCUUGAGACGUUUCCACAGAAGUUGGAUCAGCUUGUGAUCAGAUUUUUCCACUUUUAUUUUGAGUAUGAUUGUGAUUCCAGACCUCCAUGGGUUCAUGAUUUUGAUUUCCAUUGACCAUUCAAAUUGGGAAUUAGCUCUGUCGUGGCGUGUGCCGUUGAGAGAUGUUUCAUAAGAGUAGUGUUCCUCACAGUGGUAGCAAACAUUUUGCUCUGGACAUAAUAUUCCACUUGACAUGUAUGUUCUUGCCUUUUGCAAUGCUACUUCUCCAAAACGAGUAGUGGCUGUUCUUCCAAUCUUGAAAAUGCCACUUUUAACUCAACAGACCGCUCCGGACUCACCAUGAUUGCGUCUAGUUCCGUGUGGCUGUUUGUGGCACAUUGAGGUUUGUAAGCAAAAAACCCCAAUUGAAAUCGUACUGUAUCAUCAUUACUUAGGUGUCCAUCAUCACUCCCCCCCUCACCAAAGAAGGACAAUUAGGAAAAAAAAAACCCAACACUUUUUAUUUGCAGCUCCUGUCCUGUGGCUGUCUAAGCGAGCCAGGUAACAGCUGUUAAGACAUCAGUGCACAAUAACACGCCACAUUUCACUGUCGGUAGCUGCGUUGUUUGACAUAGUAAUAAGAUUACCCGUUGCACUCCCAACACGGAUGGUAACUUACUAAACAAACUUAAUUCUAUGAAACUAAGCUGGUUGGGAGCAGGUUUUCUACAAUAAACCCUGAGUUUCUCUAUGUCUCCUCCCUCUUACAGAGCAGACACUACUUUACUUUCUCAUUCAUUCGUUCAGUCCAUACCAGGCACAUUGGAUAUUGGACUACAUGUGUGACAAAUAGCAAAUUACAUGUUCUUUCAUUGAGGUGGCUGCGUCACUCCGCGGGGAGUUGAAUAUACACCAUGAGAGGAGUUACAGACCUUGAUUAUACAUAUUAUUUCCAGAUCAAUACUUAUUUGAGCCUCUGUUUUUCUUUACAGUCCAUCAAUUGUACUCACAAUGUCGUUCUUCAUAUCACGAAUGUCACCCACCUAUACAGUACACUGGAACAAAUUCUAUGCGUUGCCCUCUGUUUUUUGGAAAUGGGAUUUUCAAAUAUUUGCAUUUUCUGUGUUCUUCUUCAUUUCCUACAAAUGAAAAAAAAAAUCUGUUAAAAUAUAUUGUUUAAUGUUUAGUUCACCUGUGACUGCUCACCCACCUCUAAUUUGUAUUUUAGGAUUUCAAUUUCCAGGUCUGUUUUUUUCAUUUGCAUGUCCAAGUACAUCAUUUCUUUGUCAGCUUUUUCCAUUUUCUUGAGAAGAUGCAUUUUGUACACUGCUUUUACAGGCAACUGUUAAUACAAAAGGAGGACAAUGAUUAAUACAACUUCUACAGACGUAAGCCGUCACGUGCACUCAAAAAUAUCAACGCAACGCUUUUUGCUCCCA